AUUGAUGUAUGGACCACCGUACAUAUUAAAGGAACACUCCAAGCACUUGCUUAAGUGCUUUAUGUGUAAAGAGUGUGUCCCCUAGUGUGAUGAUUAUGGCUUACAGCUCAUGAAAAACCCAAAUCCACAAUCUCAGUGUUUUAGAAUAUUGUGAAAAUUGGUGCAAUAUUCUAGGCUCACAGUGUCCCACUCUAAUCAGCUAAGUAAGCCAUAACACCUGCAAAGGGUUUCUGAGCCUUUAAAUGGUUUCUUAGUCAGGUUCAGUAGGAAUCACAACCAUAAUUGACACCCUCCAUAAGGAGGGAAAGCCUCAAAAGGUAAUUGCGAAGGAAGUUGGAAGUUCCCAAAGUGCUGUAUCAAAGCACAUUAAUAGAAUGUUAUGUAGCAUGAAAAGUGUGGAAGAAAAAGGUGCACAAGCAGCAGGGAUGUCCGUGGCCUGGAGAGGGUUGUCAGGAAAAGGCCAUUCAAAUGUGUUGGGGACUUUCACAAGGUGUGGAUUGAGGCUGGAGUCAGUGCAUCAAGAGCCACCACACACAGACAGAUCCUGGACAUGGGCUUCAGAUGUUGUAUUCCUCUUGUCAAUUCGCUCCUGAAGCAUCUUACCUGGGCUAAAGAAAAACAGACCUGGUCUGUUGCUCAGUCGUCCAAAGCCCUCUUUUCUGAUGAGAGCAACUUUUGCAUCUCAUUUGGAAACCAAGGACCCAGAGUCUGGAUGAAUAAUGGAGAGGCACACACUGCAAGAUGCUUGAAGUCCAGUGUGAAGUUUCCACAGUCUGUGUUGAUUUGGGGAGCCAUGUCAUCUGCUGGUGUUGGUCCACUGUGCUUCAUUAAGUCCAGGGCCAACGCAGCCAUCUACCAGGAGAUUUUGGAGCACUUCAUGCUUCCUUCUGCAAACAAGCUUUAUGGGGAUGAUGACUUCAUUUUCCAAAAGCACCAAAGCCUGUCCCAAAUGACCGUGGGAUUACCGUGCUUGAUUGGCCAGCAAAUUUGCCUGACCUGAACCCCAUAGAGAAUCUAUGGGGUAUUGCCAAGAGAAAGAUGAGACAUGAGACCGAACAAUGCAGAAGAGCUGAAGGCCGCUAUUGAAGCAUCCUGGUCUUCCAUGCCAUGCCGCAUUGAGGCAGUAAUUGCUGCAAAAAGGGCCCAAACCAAGUACUGAAUCCAUAUGCAUGCUUAUACUUUUCAGAGGUCCGAUAUUGUUCUAUGUACACUCCUUGUUUUAUUGAUUGCAUGUAAUAUUCUAAUUUACUGAGAUUGUGGAUUUGGGGUUUUCAUGAGCUGUAAGCCAUCAUCAUCGCACUUAUGACAAAUCACGGCUUGAACUAUCUUGCUUUGCAUGUAAUGCGUCUAUCUCAUAUAUUAGUUUCCCCUUUUACGUUGCAUUACUGAAAUAAAUGAACUUUUGCACGAUAUUCUAAUUUUUCGAGUAUCACCUGUAAUUCUUAAACAGCAUACCGAUCCAGUGUGUUAUAGUUAUCAAUGAGUGGGGUAUAGAGCUGUCACAGAUUAUAUUAGUAUUCUUUUUAUAAUUUUUUGUUUGUGCAAGCAGGAGUAGGUGUACCCCCAAAAGACAAAAUCAGGACAUUAGAGUAGAUUAUUACAUCCAACACAUGAAAACAUGAGUCCUGAGCCUAAUAUUAUUAUUGAAUUGAAAUAGAAUACACAUGGUCAGUUUACACAAGCCUUGGAUCAGGGGUUUCAAUCCUUGUCGAUAUAAUGGUACAGUCAUCCAAGUACCUUCUUCAAGAUAAUAUGAAUGGGAAGCCAUUGAGUAGCUGAGAGUGUCAGCUGUCCACUCAGCCAAUCAGCAGCCCCUCCCCCCCCAGUGGCACUCUGUGCUUCCCCAGAAGCCAGAUGCUGUCAAGAGGAGAAAAGAUCGGUGCUGGAGGUUCACUUAGGGGUUAAGCAGUACGAGAACG